AAACCAUGAUGUGGACAGCUCCUCAGUAAAUCCUUGAAACGUUCCCAGUAAUCGUAUAGUUUCUCAUUCUCUUGCUGAAGAAACCCUGUUAUGUCAUUCCUCAACUU
rfam:Ricinus communis cultivar Hale ctg_1100012356424, whole genome shotgun sequence.